rnacentral:misc_RNA from 1 species
AGAUUCUCGGAGUCCUCUUUGGCGUGAUAGUUGUUGUUCUUCUCUUGCUCGCCUCGUCCUAGGUCGCUGUCCGGAAAAAGGUAACUUUUCCACCAUAGUAACUUCUUCAUUUUUUUUUAUUUCAAAUGGAUGUUUGAAAAAUUAUGAAACUUCUGUUUUGGUCUGGAUGAUGUUGUUCGGGAUUUGAAUGUUGAUGACUUCAUUUGUUGUUCAUCUAUUAUUAAUAGAUGUUAGUUUCAACACCAUUUUAGAAUGAUUAUCAUGCGGAGUUUACCGUUCGUUCGUUUCUAUAUUCAAACUUAUUUGUUUUGUUAUGCCUUAUUUCGAGUAUAAGCAUCAAUGUUGCAUGCGUGUUCUUUUAUUUUAAUCGAGUCCAUUUCUGACCGUGAUUGCAAUUUAAGUUUCCCGUUAUUUCGUUUAGAUUGUAUCCAGUGUCAAUGUUUUUGGGGGGUAUAUUUGUUUGGUUUCAAAUUAUUUGGUGGGUACUAGCUUAUCUUAGUUUACUUUAAGUUUAGAAGUUGUAAUAUGGUCAUUUUGAUGACAUCUUCUCACUACCCGUUUUGUUAUUUUUGUAAGUUUUGUUCUGUUCUAAAAUUUUCUAUUUGUUUUAUUGUUUUCCUUCUUGGGUCUGCCGCAUGAUUACAUUAUUAGACAAGUCGAAGUUUGGAGCUUAUUGUGUCUAAGUAUGGAGUAUUAUGUGUUUAUCUUGGCUGUUUUUCAAUGUUGCUAGUUGCCCAUGUUUAGAUCCUAAAACCAACUAGGAUGAUUAGUGUGUGGGAUAUGGUGGCAGGCCUUUUUCUUAGUUCGGCUCUGUCCAUUUCUUGAGUUUAUUUUCGGAUUAUGUUUCUUGAUGUGAUUGACUUGAAUCAUAUUUUUGGCGUUCUUGUUACUUUUUUUUAGUCGGAUAUGUUUACAUUUGUAAGUUGGUUUGGUAU